ACAGCUAACCAAAGGACAAAAUUCAACAUUUUUUUAAUAAUUAUUGAUCUACAGAGUCCACAGAAUAUUACUGCAGUGGUUUGGUUCCGAUCGGACAAAAAACCUAGGACUAGUUCGCAAAAGUAGGUUUUUAACAUAUUUGUGAAUAACAAUUGAACGAUUUGAUUGACAGCAAUGGUUCUUGAGGCAAAGUUGUGCAUUAUGAGGAGAUCUAUCAAAUGAUAUGCAUAUUGUGUUGAUAUGUGAAACACCACGUGAUUACAGAGCCAUAAAACUCGUUAGCGCCAACUAGUGGCCGAUUUCUUUCAAAAUUCUUACAGACCUUAAGGUUCAUGAGUCGAACGUACCCAGCGAGUUUCGUUCCGAACAACAUCCGUUAACCCUUUCAAAUAGGUGCUUAAAAUUGUUUGGCCAAUGGCAGCCAUGUUUUUUGAGAUAUGCAAAUGUCCUCAUAGGUACUUGUGCCCCUUCAGACCAAGACACUGCAUACCAAUUUUCAAGUCGAUCGAGCCAACGGUUGCCUAGUUAUAGCCAUUUAUGUGUUUUUUAAAUCUUAUUGCGCCCCCAAGUGGCAAAGAUGCGCAAUUUUUUUUAUUUGACCAAAGAUUGAGCUCAUACAUAUGUGUACCAAGUUUGGUCAAGAUAUCUCAUUCCGUUCAAGAGUUAUAGUCAAAAUAACAUUUGGCUAACGUUAGCAUAGACGCUUUUUGGCGUACUGUUUCGCGUAAGAAUCGAAAUUUCAACUUUUUUUUGAUAAUUAUUUAUAUUGAGUGUCCAGGGAAUAUUUCUGCAGUGGUUUCGUUCCGAUUGGUUGAAAAUCCUAGGACUAGUUCGCAAAAGUAGGUUUCGGAUAUAGCUCGAUUUUGCGAGAAAACGGUGCGUCGUAGAGCAAAAAAUGCAGCUGUGCACUUUUGUUCGGGCUAACCCAAGGAUUGCAACGAUGCCUUGUUUUUGAGUCUACGGCUAACGGUUUACGACCUGCGGCCAAAAAUGUCAAAAAUUUUAGUUUUUUGCGCUGUAG